UGGGGAAUAUUGCACAAUGGGGGAAACCCUGAUGCAGCGACGCCGCGUGAACGAAGAAGGUAUUCGUAUCGUAAAGUUCUGUCCUAUGGGAAGAUAAUGACAGUACCAUAGAAGAAAGCUCCGGCUAAAUACGUGCCAGCAGCCGCGGUAAUACGUAUGGAGCGAGCGUUGUCCGGAAUUAUUGGGCGUAAAGGGUACGCAGGCGGUUUAAUAAGUCGAAUGUUAAAGAUCGGGGCUCAACCCCGCAAAGCAUUGGAAACUGAUAAACUUGAGUAGUGGAGAGGAAAGUGGAAUUCCUAGUGUAGUGGUGAAAGUCGUAGAUAUUAGGAGGAAUACCAGUAGCGAAGGCGACGUUCUGGACACAAACUGACGCUGAGGUACGAAAGCGUGGGGAGCAGACAGG
rnacentral:rRNA from 1 species